UCUGAACUUAGAUGGGAUUACCCGCCGAACUUAAGCAUAUCAAUAG
rnacentral:rRNA from 1 species